UCUGAGAGGAUGAUCAGCCACACCGGGACUGAGACACGGCCCGGACUCCUACGGGAGGCAGCAGUGGGGAAUAUUGGACAAUGGGGGAAACCCUGAUCCAGCCAUGCCGCGUGUGUGAAGAAGGCCUUCGGGUUGUAAAGCACUUUCAGUGGGGAAGAAGGCAUGCCGAUUAAUACCCGGCAUGAAGGACAUCACCCACAGAAGAAGCACCGGCUAACUCCGUGCCAGCAGCCGCGGUAAUACGGAGGGUGCAAGCGUUAAUCGGAAUUACUGGGCGUAAAGGGCGCGUAGGCGGCUUGCCAAGCCGGAUGUGAAAGCCCCGGGCUCAACCCGGGAACGGCAUUCGGAACUGGCAGGCUAGAGUGCAGGAGAGGAAGGUGGAAUUCCCGGUGUAGCGGUGAAAUGCGUAGAGAUCGGGAGGAAUACCAGUGGCGAAGGCGGCCUUCUGGACUGACACUGACGCUGAGGCGCGAAAGCGUGGGUAGCAAACAGGAUUAGAUACCCUGGUAGUCCACGCCGUAAACGAUGUCGACCAGCCGUUGGACCCCUUGAGGGUUUGGUGGCGUAGUUAACGCAAUAAGUCGACCGCCUGGGGAGUACGGCCGCAAGGCUAAAACUCAAAUGAAUUGACGGGGGCCCGCACAAGCGGUGGAGCAUGUGGUUUAAUUCGAUGCAACGCGAAGAACCUUACCUGCUCUUGACAUCCUGCGAAUCUCCCAGAGAUGGGAGAGUGCCUUCGGGAGCGCA
rnacentral:rRNA from 1 species